rnacentral:rRNA from 1 species
CCUACGGGGGGCAGCAGUGGGGAAUAUUGCACAAUGGGGGAAACCCUGAUGCAGCGACGCCGCGUGAGUGAAGAAGUAUUUCGGUACGUAAAGCUCUAUCAGCAGGGAAGAAAAUGACGGUACCUGACUAAGAAGCCCCGGCUAACUACGUGCCAGCAGCCGCGGUAAUACGUAGGGGGCAAACUUUAUCCGGAUUUACUGGGUGUAAAGGGAGCGUAAACGGCAGCGCAAGUCUGGGUUGAAAUCCCAUGGCUUAACCAUGGAACUGCUUUUGAAACUGUGCAGCUAGAGUGCAGGAGAGGUAAGCGGAAUUCCUAGUGUAGCGGUGAAAUGCGUAGAUAUUAGGAGGAACACCAGUGGCGAAGGCGGCUUACUGGACUGUAACUGACGUUGAGGCUCGAAAGCGUGGGGAGCAAACAGGAUUAGAUACCCCAGUAGUC